rnacentral:rRNA from 1 species
UACGUAGGGUGCGAGCGUUGUCCGGAAUUACUGGGCGUAAAGAGCUCGUAGGUGGUUUGUCAUGUCGUCUGUGAAAUUCCGGGGCUUAACCUCGGGCGUGCAGGCGAUACGGGCAAUACUUGAGUGCUGUAGGGGAGACUGGAAUUCCUGGUGUAGCGGUGAAAUGCGCAGAUAUCAGGAGGAACACCGAUGGCGAAGGCAGGUCUCUGGGCAGUAACUGACGCUGAGGAGCGAAAGCAUGGGUAGCGAACAGGAUUA